UCGAGAAUCUUCGGCAAUGGGCGCAAGCCUGACCGAGCGACGCCGCGUGGAGGAUGAAGGCCUUCGGGUUGUAAACUCCUGUCGAGGGGGAAAAAGGCCCCGCAAGGGGCUUGAUUGAUCCCUGGAGGAAGCACGGGCUAAGUUCGUGCCAGCAGCCGCGGUAAGACGAACCGUGCGAACGUUAUUCGGAAUCACUGGGCUUAAAGCGCGUGUAGGCGGAUGAGCACGUCUGUCGCUGAAAUCCCCCGGCUCAACCGGGGAACGGGCGGAGAUACGGCUUGUCUGGAGGGGCGUAGGGGGACCUGGAACUUCCGGUGGAGCGGUGAAAUGCGUUGAGAUCGGAAGGAACGCCCGUGGCGAAAGCGAGGUCCUGGACGCCUACUGACGCUGAGACGCGAAAGCCAGGGGAGCGAACG
rnacentral:rRNA from 1 species